GUGGUGGAGUACGAUGCAGAGGGAUUCACCAAGCUCACUCUUCUCCUCAUGUGGAAAGACUUCUGUUUCCUUGUCCAUGAGCAUAUUUCAAGAGCUGCAUUCCACAAUUUCAGGAAGAGGCCUUUGCCACUGAAACUCUAGGAGUGUAGUGUAGUGUGUGUGAAUGCGCUGCACAUAAGUGACAAUGUACGCUGUACAGGGACUCUCUAACUCCAUGUUUAGCCAUAUGUUUUAUGCUUUCCCUGAAUUGUCUGCGUUUCCAUUUUAUUUCAUUUUUUUACCCUUCUUACAAUUACAGAAAGAAAAUGCUGUUGCUAAAAUGGUUAGGGUCAGUAGUUCAGAACCACUUAGUCUGUCAAUAGACAGAUGUUGGGUUUGCCCAGCCAAGGUGCUACAGCCUCAAACAAGACAUCACUUCUGAUCUUCUGAUUGGUUGUGAGAACUGGAAAAGGGCCCUGAACACUUUGGCUGGAGAUUGAUGUGAUGCGGUCAUCUUCUGGAAAAACCUUCAGUGGUUCAUCUUGAUUCAUAUAAUACAUUCUUACGAGUGGUACCAUUACUUUAUCAUUCUACAGUUGUCUUAAUCUUUGCCUUGAGAGGAGUAUUCCUCAGUACUAUGUACAUUGGAGAGAAUACUGUAUGUUCUAUUUUUCAUUUGUAAAGACCUGUGAUCAUAUUUGAUUCACUUACUCCAUGAAGGUAAGUUACUAAAUGUUUUCUGUUAUUUUCAUUUCACCACCAUCUCAAUCACUCCUAUUCCCAAUAAAACCCUGAAAUCCUG